GUGAGUGAAUAUGUCUCUCCCAAAUUCAGUUGGGGUCUCUCUCUCUUCUUUGCUCUGCGCGGCCCUUCGAGGCUUCCAACGCCGGACGUGUAUGCAUCAAUUGCUUCUCUCUCCGUCCUCUCUCAGGGGUUGAAGUAGUUUUUGCAAUAGAGAAAGCUGCGGUGGAGAUAUGACUUCUGUUCGCUGACGGUGCUCUCGGGCCGUCUAUCAAACUCGACUCGGGGCUGGAUUAUUACAUAGAUGUUGAUUAUCAAGUGGGUGAUGGCUUCUCUUUCAGUGGAGGUGCCUAUUCUCUUUUCCACUACCUCUUUUAUUUGCUAAAUGGCCUUUCCAAGUUUUUUAGUACUAGUAACUGAGGAAGUUUUUGACAUGAAAGUAUUCAAAUGGACCAAGCCCUUCUGAUGAAUGGUUCAAGCAGGGGAAGAUAGUGCUUAUAUUUCUCUUGGUUCUGGUGAGAAGGUCCAAUCUUGGACUUGCAAUGGGUGCUGAUUCUCAGGCAGCUGCUGAUGUUUUUAGAGUAUUGUCAGUCAUGGGGUUGAAAAGCUAGCUAUCCAGUGAUGAUGAACUUCUGGUUGUUCGUCUUUGGAAGGGUCUUCAAUGCUGCUGCUAUAGUGAUUCAAGAUUUUGAUCUAGGAUGCUCUUUGUUAAUCUAGAAUGUUUUACAUUUUAGGACGGUAAUGAUAAAUUGUUGGUUUAAUUAAGUUGUUUUUAUACAAUAUUGUUGU